GUCAGCCUAGGGGCGCAGCAGUGGGGAAUAUUGGGCAAUGGGCGCAAGCCUGACCCAGCAACGCCGCGUGAAGGAAGAAGGCUUUCGGGUUGUAAACUUCUUUUGUCAGGGGCGAAGCAAGUGACGGUACCUGACGAAUAAGCCACGGCUAACUACGUGCCAGCAGCCGCGGUAAUACGUAGGUGGCAAGCGUUAUCCGGAUUUAUUGGGUGUAAAGGGCGUGUAGGCGGGAAUGCAAGUCAGAUGUGAAAACUAUGGGCUCAACCCAUAGCCUGCAUUUGAAACUGUAUUUCUUGAGUGCUGGG
rnacentral:rRNA from 1 species